GGAGAGGAUAGAGGACUACCUCCACCUGGGUCUCAUCUGCCCCUGCCCCUGGAGCUGGGGGGAGGGGCAGCCUUUCUGCAGUGCAUGAACUCAGAGUGGGACAGGGGUGGCUCCCUCGAGGAAUGUCAAGGCAUGUAGCCAAGAGAUGGCAGGAUGGGAACUGGGCAGGCAAAAGCCCUGAUACUGAAACUGACAGCACUAAUGGCCUGAAUCUAGCCCAAACCCAGAUUGGGACUUGAACCCACGUUAUAAAUUAGAACCACUCACCAGGUGUCUGGACUUAUUGAGGUUCAGGUUCUUUAUGCCUCCACACAGAAGGAAUUUAGCAAGAGACAAAGUGAUAGGCAAGAAGUAGAUUUAUUAAGAUAGGACUUUUGUGAGAGAUGCAAGCGGGCAUUCAAGGAGGCUCUGCCUGGAGUAUCUGGUGGGCUACAGUUUUGUCAUCCAAGUGGAGUUGGGUUGGAAAAGACCGCCUCUUCCUUUCUGGGAGUAAUAGCUCCUCUUUGGUAUCCAGGAAGUUGUGUAUUCAAAUCAGUGGAAGGAUGGUUCUCAAACUCUGGCCCUUGGUCUGAAUCUGAAUGCAGGCCUCAUGCCAUCCCCCACCCAGUGACCUGAGGCAAUUCUCACACCUCCACUAGUCAAACAAGCCUGCCUUGUUCUGAUGGCUUUUUUGAGCAAUUUAAUAACUUAAGUGAUCUCCCCAAAUCCCCUAAGUUUUCCUCUUUAUCUGUGGUCCCAUACUGGGACUUCUACAACUACCUGUGCCUCCUCCAUCCCUACCAAUACCACCGCAGUAAGCACAGCCUCAUGUUUGCACAUAUUUGACUCCAUCAUUUUGCUGAUUCUUAGCACCAGCUCUGGUAACUCUCCUCAUAUUGUGGCAAAGGCAGAGAGCUCAAAUAAUUUGCCCAGACAGAGCUGAUCUCUGACCUGGGAUUUCUGAGCCCUGAUCUAGGUCCUUUUCUGAUUCACACCCACCCAUCCCCGCUGAUGUCCCUUCCAUGUUUCAUGCUCUUGCAGCCCUGCACUGCCCAGAGGAGACUGCUGGUGCAGCGUGUGCAGGCAGCCAGUCCCCUGAUCAAAUUCCGUGACCACCUUUGCCAUGGAGGGACAAGGGGAGGACAGGGGCACCACCUGCUCCCCCUCCCCCCAUCCUGCCCAGGAAACUAAGCUCUGUUCUCUAGGAGUCAUUCCUCCAUCGGUAACAUCAUCCACAUAGAGCCAACUGUCUGCAGAGUGUCUUCCUCUCUAUUGGGAACCCAGUAAGAAGCACUGGUGGGAGUGGGAGGUGGCAGCGGGAGGGGAGGGGAUCUCUCUAGGCAAUGAACACAGCUGGCAGAGGCAUCCUCCAGAAACCAACAUGGCCCCAGAACACUGAGAGCACUGGCAAGAACUGGUACCCCUUCUCAUGAGGGCCUGUUAACCCAUUUGUACAUGAGGAGCUUGGGCUAAGAGUUUUCUAGCUCUAAAAGUCAUCGAUUGACAAAGAGCCAAUUUCCUCACUCUACGAAAAGUUCCCACAAAUCAAUAAGAAGACACGCCCCAAAGAAAAGUGGGCAAGGGGCACAAGUAGGCCAUCCUUCCUUCCCCCACCCAAACCCUAAAGGAUUAACAACUAAGAUGAAAAAAUGUUCAAACUCAGCCGCAAAGGACCGCAAGUAAAACCAACAAAACAAUCUUGCUUCCACCAGUCGUGUUGAUAAAGAUGAUCUCAUACCAGGUGAGGGGUGGGGGGAUGGGCACUCAGCCACCUGCAGGAGGAGUAGAAACAGUUGCUAGGAGUAGAAACAGUAGGUAAUAAAAAAGCCUUAGAACCUUGUGGGCUGGUGAUACCACUUUGAUUUCACACCUAGAACUUUCUCUAAAGGCAAGAAUCACAGAUGUUUGUAAAGGUAGUUUAGCAAAGUGUACAGUAGGCAGAGAAAUAUUCUAAAAUCAUAGAUCAUGCCACCCUCUCCCCCAUCCCUUAAAAUACUCCGAAGAUUUCUCUUAGGCUUAAAAUAAACCCAACUCCUGACCCUAUAGCCUGUCCCUGUUCCUCUUCUCUCUCCGUUUUGCCUUUUUUAUCACCCUGCUUGUCUCCUUUCUAUUCCUCAAAUACACCAGGCUUGGACCAGCCUCGGAAUUUUUGCUCAGACUAUUCCAUCUGCUGGGACACUCGUCUCCCUUAAAUGUGAGCCCCACAAGGAAAGGUCUCUGUAUUAUUCCCCGCAGGAUCCUUAACCCGCCCCCUGACAGCACUAGUUGUUCACUGGAUAAGCGAACAAUUGAGAGCAGGUGCGGCUCGAGUUCAGGCUCUGCCAGUGAUUAGCUGUGUGACCUUGAGCAAGUUCCUUUACCUCUCUGAGCCUUGGGUGCCUCUGGCGUGAGGUACAAAUAGAAGAACGACCCCAUGAGUUCUCAUCAGGAUUAAUUUCAGUAAAGCAUAUAAAGUCUUGUGCAAUGUGAGUCCUCGAGAACUAUUUGUGAUAAUUACGGAUGUUUUCAAAAUACUAUCUGUAACUGUUCUGAUGUGGGUUGAAGAAACUCCCCCGGGGCAUCCGUAGACUGCAUCCAGGGAAAACGUGUCGUGGAAGUCAAUCUGUGGACACGCAAAAGGGUCAAAUAUAUACUGUUUACUCAUUUCACCAUAAUAGGCAUUAAUGCAUGCUCAGAAAAAUGCAAGAAACAAAGUGAAUCCUGCCUGUCAAAUUUCUCAUCCAAACCUCAUGCUAUGUUAAAUGAACAAGGCAGGUAAAAAAACCCAACAUGCCUCGUAUGAACUCACUUUUAAAAAAUAAAAUGUUAAUAUAUACUCAUAAGGGAAAGCCUGUCAGAUUUACAUUAAAUUGUUAAAGUUGUUUGGCAGGAGAGUAGAAAUUGCUGGCAUUUUCCAUAGACAGCUUUGGCUUUUCUGUGGUUUCCUCAUUAUCUAUUACUUUAAGCGAUCUGAAAAAGCCCAUGUAAGAGUUAAGUGAGCCUCCCCACUCCCCUUUGCCUGCCACCAUCUGGCUACUUGAUCCCCAGGGCCUCUUGUGUUCAAGGGUCCUGUGUUGUCUUAGGCAGCAUGACCGAGGCCAGGGCUUGUGCCAGGGACCCCCGUAAACAGUCAAGUGUUGAAGAGCUGGGUAUUGCAUCGUCCUGGGGUUUGGUGCUUUCCUGAGAAGAGUUGUAGAUUGGCAAGAAGAAUGCAUUAUGCUAAGCACAAGUUUGAAACUCAGGGCACUCUGGGCAUCAGUCAGGACAACAAAAAAUUUUUAAACCCAAUAAUAAUUCACUUGGAUUAAGACAUUUUAAAAGGGAUUUAUUGGUACAUUUAACUGAAAGAGUUUCAGGCCGAAUGGAUUCAGGUGCUCAAAUGGUGCCUUCCAGAAUCCUUAAGGCUCUAAUUUCCUCUGCUGGCUCUGCUCUGAGGCAGACUCUCUACGUGCGGUGGCGAGAUGACCCAUCAGCAGCUCCAGAGCCACGCUCCAGUAGCUCAGCAGUCCCAGCAGACAGAGAGCUUCUCUCUCCUCUAGGCACCAGAAAGUCACAGGGAGUCCCUGAUUGGCCAGACAUAGUUUUAUGCCCACCCCUGGAUCAUGUACUGGGGUCCUGAUUGGCUGGGUCUUGCCUUCCCCACCCCCAGGGAAUGGAGCCAGCUCUACCAGAAUCCUUGGACUGGAGGAAGAGGGGGUGGGGGUGUCUUGCUCUCACCGGACAAUGGGGGGAUAUUUGCAGAGGGCAGAUCUCUCCACUCUGUGUGUUGAAGGCUGUGCUGCAUGUGUGAGUGAAGCUCAGAAAUGCCUCUUUAUCAGGAAAGCUCAGUUAACUACAACACCCUGCCCUCAAUUGCUCCGAAGUGCAGAAGAGGAGCCCCCACCAGGAGUGGGGAGGUGGUGUGGGGGGUGUGGUGAGAGGGGGUGGGGGCGAAGGGGUCCUGCCUGCAAAUCCGGUCAAAGACUCAGUCGGUGGUUGUGGCCAAAUCAGCCCUUGCCCAGUCCCCACUUGCAGAGGAAGCUUAAUCUGGCUGAAGUCGCCAGGUUUUAGGAUGAUGCUGUGUAAUUUUUUUCGAUGAAAUUGUUGGGGUAUUGCUGCCCCUCCCUUUCCACUGACUCGGAAUAAUUUCUUAAUGGAAUCCAGCUUAUUGCUGUGAUCCACGCUGGCAGGAGAAUGAUAUAGUUUUUCCAGGAGGGGCCUGUUAGAUUGGCUGCAAGAGAAGGGGAGUUUGGAGGCUAUUUCUGGCAGGGUCAGGUGGGUAAAAAAUGUAGGGGUGGGAGGUGACCGGAGCACUUGGGGAGAAAACCUGAGCCAGGACCUCCUGCUCGGGGUCUGGAAAGAAGGGCAGGUGAGGAGGAGGUGGGCCCCCAGGGUCGGCAGGGGGGGAGGCCUUGGCAGCUGAGGAAGGGAGCUGGUGGGGCAGGAAUGUCUGUCUCUUUCCCUGGCACCUGUCCCUGGGUUUGCAGACCUCUGACCCCAUCCCACAAACAUUCCUGGAGAAGAAGGCAAGGAGGGAUGCCACCUUGGUGCCCAUCAGGUACCUGCACCUAAAACAGAGAGAUGAGUAAUAAACUAUUGAAAGCCUGCUGUGGGCUGUUCGCAACAUGUUCAUGGAUCAGCUCAUAAGCCUCACAACUGUAUGAAAUAAGUGUGACUAUUAGCCGCAUCCUGUUCAUGGGCCCAGGAAGGUGAAGUGACUUGCCUGGGGACACAUAGCCUGUGAGUGAUGGAGCCACACUCAGCAUCUGGGUGCCUGUAAGGAUGGGCAGACUAGAGUCAGAGGCAAAGAACGGUCAGGACACAAGUGCUGGGUGAGCCAGAGGUGGAAAGAAACUCAAUCAUCUUGAGGAGGGAGAGUGGAAAUCUGGAAAAGGCAAGUUUAAUCUCUACCUUAAAGGAUCUGUGCAAUUUGGACAGGAUAAAAGGUUCAGGGAAGGGUUUUCCAGUGGGAAGGAACAGCAUAAGCAAAGGCAUAGAGGCAGGAAAGUACAUGGAACACUGGGGACAGAGCAAGCAGCCUGGCAGGGGCUGCGCCAGUGUUUGUGGGUCACGAGGCCACUUGAACAGUGGGGCAAGGGAGUCCUGCUGUGCCCUAAGGCCUGGAAUUCCCAGCAUUGGCUGAGAUAGCUGAGGGGAAGCUGUGUCCAACCUCCUUAAGUGGUUUCACAGGUUGAGGGGCAAAGCCUGGCAGCCUCUGUCUCCCAAGGCAGACUAGAGGACGUGGAGGGGGCAGAAAGCCCUGCUCCUCUCAGACCUACAUGAGGUCCACUGCAGCCUAGGCGGCGGUGGAUGGACAGGAAGCCGGCCAUUCCUUCCCGUGAGCUGGAGGAGAAUGGGCUCUAUGUGAGCCACAACAAAAAGCCUUUUCUGCCAAGUCGGAGGGGGAGGAAGUGGCCAGCCCUGCCCUGCCCCAGCCUGAAAGAAGGCUCUGUUGGUGGCCCUGGGGUCUUCGAAGUCGAGAACAUGAGGGUAGGGACGGCCAGGAUGCGCAAGGGCCUCCUCAGCCCUGUAUGGAUCUCCAGCAGCACAGGGAGGUGGGGCUGAGCUGCUCUGCAAGUUGGUUGGCCUGGGUUCUAAUUGGCCAUUUUCUGGCUGUGUGACCUUGGCCAAGUCCCUCCACCUCUCUGAGCCCCGCUUGUCUCAAGAGUGAAUGUAAGUAGGGGAGCAUUCUAGAUGACUGGGGCUGUGAUCACUCAUUCAGCCCUCACCAGCCCUUUACAGCUAGCAUCUUCUGUCUGUCCUCCCAGCAGCUGGUGGAGUAGGUUGUGUGAUCCCCUUCAUCGAGGUUUAAGUACUGGUAGCAUCAGGGUGGAAGCCCAGGAUGUUUUGAACUCUGAAACUCCAAGCUAUGCAAAAGCAGAGGAAAAAGAGGCUGGAAGGAAAUACACUGAACUGUCAACACUGGCUGGGGGAGUGAUGGUGACAUAUUUUUCUUCUUUUUGUUUACCUGUAAUGUCUUAAUUGUUUUACUUGGGAAUUGGCAAAACAUAAAGAAACAAAAGAUGCUGAGGGAAUGGGGGCUGGGAGGGACCCAAGGUGAGUUUAGGCUAUAGCUUGAUUUUAUUAUUAUCCUUGUUGUUGUUGUUGUCUUUUUAGGGCUGUACCUGUGGCAUAGGGAAGUUCCCAGGCUAGGGGUCAAAUUGGAGCUGCAGCUGCUGGCCUACACCACCGCCACAGCAAUGUGGGAUCUGAGCCGCAUUUGCAAACUAUACCACAGCUCAUGGCAAUGACAGAUCCUUAACCCACUGAGUGAGGCCAGGGAUCGAACCCGAGUCCUUGAUGAUUCUGGUCAGUUUUGUUACCACUGAGCCACAACAUGAA
rnacentral:lncRNA from 1 species